rnacentral:rRNA from 1 species
UACGUAGGGGGCGAGCGUUGUCCGGAUUCAUUGGGCGUAAAGAGCUCGUAGGCGGUUUGGCAAGUCAGGUGUGAAAUCUCCGGGCUCAACUCGGAGAGGCCACCUGAUACUGCUAUGACUAGAGUCCGGUAGGGGACCAUGGAAUUCCUGGUGUAGCGGUGAAAUGCGCAGAUAUCAGGAGGAACACCGGUGGCGAAGGCGGUGGUCGGGGCCGGCACUGACGCUGAGGAGCGAAAGCGUGGGGAGCGAACAGG